rnacentral:rRNA from 1 species
AACGAACGCUGGCGGCAUGCCUAACACAUGCAAGUCGAACGAGACCUUCGGGUCUAGUGGCGCACGGGUGCGUAACGCGUGGGAACCUGCCCUUAGGUUCGGAAUAACUCCCCGAAAGGGGUGCUAAUACCGGAUAAUGUCUUCGGACCAAAGAUUUAUCGCCUUUGGAUGGGCCCGCGUUGUAUUAGCUAGUUGGUAGGGUAAAAGCCUACCAAGGCUACGAUCCAUAGCUGGUCUGAGAGGAUGAUCAGCCACACUGGGACUGAGACACGGCCCAGACUCCUACGGGAGGCAGCAGUGGGGAAUAUUGGACAAUGGGCGAAAGCCUGAUCCAGCAAUGCCGCGUGAGUGAUGAAGGCCUUAGGGUUGUAAAGCUCUUUUACCCGGGAUGAUAAUGACAGUACCGGGAGAAUAAACCCCGGCGAACUCCGU